GACUGGAAGGGCUGGAGCCAGGAUCCAUCCCUUCCCAGCCCUCAUUUAAGGGUUGGCAGUGGAAGUGAGGGUUUCUUACUGGAGAUUCCCAUGCACCUGAGGCUUUCUAAAGCUCCCAGUACGGCCCAGUAUGGGAUCACCGGGGACGCCGAGGUCCUGUUCUCCUGCUGGUACCUUGUGUUGACACUGUCCUCCCUCACCAGCAUAUUCUACCUGAAGAACAUCAUUCUGCACUGAGUGUAAAGAACCCUAAAAGGCUUUUAAGGAUUCUCUGAAAGUGCUGAUGACUGGAUCUGAUCUGGUAGAGUUUGUUAAAAGCAGCGUGGGAUAUAAUCAGCAGUGCUUGCGUGGGGAUGAUCGCCUUCUGUAGAAUUGCUCAUUAUGUAAAUACCUUAAUUCUACUCCUUUUUUGAUUAGCUGCAUUACCUUGUGAAGCAGUACACAUUGUCCUUUUUUAAGACGUGAAAGCUCUGAAGCUACUUUUAGAGGGUAUUAAUUGUGAUUUCAUGUUUGUAAUCUACAAGUUUUCAAAAGCAUUCAGUCAUGGUCUGCUGAACUGCAGACCGUAGUUUACAAAGAAAAAAAAAAAAAAAGGAGAAUAUUGCAGUAAAAUGGGCUUCUUUAAGGCUGCAAUACAACAUUCAGUUCCCUUCUUAAAUAACAUUCUCUCCACAUGUACACAAGAACUUUUUUUUUUAAUUAAAAAAAAAUCAAAUAAUCUUGCCUUCAAAAUAUUUCUUCGGAAUAUUACACAUAUCUAGAUUUUCUUCCAGCAUGAUAUUCAGGUUUCAAGAAUGAGCCUUGUAUUAUAACUGCAUUGUGCAGUACUGCUUUUUGAUUUCUUCCUUUUUCCUGCAAAUUCAGCAUGGGUGUGCCUUCAUAAAACACUAUUUUCCUCUUCCUUUCCAACAAAUCUGGAAUGUGCUUUGGGAAAUGCUACAGCAUCCUUUUGAGCAUAACCGAUCUCUGAGGACGAAGGUGCUAUUGGUUAGGCAGAAGGCCUCCUCUCCCAUCUCCAGUGGGUAAUGGGACUGCUUCAGUAUAUUUUUAGGCAAUCAGACAAGGAUAGCACUGAUCCCUUUUUAUUUUCCCCCUACUAAGCAGUGGACGAUCUGCAUUAAGAACGAGUUUCCCCAUUACAAAAGAGAACGCAAAUUAUUUUGAGACAUCUUUUGAAUGUAAGAAGGCUUCCCGUAGUCAUUCUAAACCAGAAUUCCUAAGUGGCUGUAAAUGUGAGAAGCUGAAUCAUCCCUUUUGUAUUACUGGCAAAAAUAUGAUGUGAAUUGGUAUUUUUCUUGCACUUAAUUUUGUACUGGUUUGGCUAAUUUAGCAAUGAUAAAGGAUGCUUUUAAGUAUUAGAUAUCUGAAAAUACAUAAAGUAUCAAGCAGAAUUUUAUAUAUAUACAUAUAUAUAUAAAAUACAGAUAUAUAUUAAAACGAGGUUGCUCCAAUAACCGUACUGAAGUGCAUGCUGCCAUCAAUGAUGCAUCUACAGACAGGACUUCAUUCCUGAUGUACACACACUGUACCAAUAGCUUACCACAGCAAUUUAGUCAUCAUAGACGAUCUCCUAGGACUGCAGUCUAUCAAGAUAAGACUCGCAUUAAACUCAAUGAAGGAUCAAGUUUCAAAAGAGCAUCUAGAAUCACUAUUUUUUCUAAGCAGCCCUGUACUGCAUCAAUGCAAAACGUUGCUGCAGUUUACAACUGAGUUUAGAAAUGCCAUCCUUGUAAGUUGCUGGGAUGUGACUGUGUCCAACAGCCUUAGAGCACAACGUCUCCAAUUGGCCCCCGGUAGAUGCUGACGUGCUUAAAAAAACAACAGCUGACGACAUGAAUAAUAAAGCCAUUAUACGAGUACUGCAUUCCCUCUCCUAAUGAUAAGGUUUGUGGUUAGCAAUACCAGAUGAGUGCUGCGCAUACGCAGCAGUUCCAAAUACCCCCGUUUCUGGAAAGGCAAAUCCUGAGUUUGGUUGGACUCGCUGUGUGCUGUCCCAUGCUAAAGCACAGGCACAACGUGCGGUGAAGCUGUUGCAGUUACUGAUGAGCCCAGGUGCACAAAGUGAAACGCAUUGACUCCAAAAUACGGCAAUAAAGCGUCCUAGGUCUGCUUGUGUUCAGUGACAGCUUGUGCCAUUUCUAUCACGUCGUUUGCAGCUGCGUGCUGAGCAGUGGCCAUUUUCAGAAGCGUGGCAUUUCUGUAAAACCUUGAAUAACGUGACCAAAUUCGUUGCUGAAGGAAACGGUUUAAAGCCAACUCAAAUUCUACUACACGCAGCCCUUAUAUUCUUCUCUCCCUUGUAUUGCAGCUUUAAAGUGCCAUAUUUUAGAAUCCGUUCAUUGGAAACAGUGGUGCUGCAGAAAACAUCACGUCAGGGCAGACUUGUGAAGAAAGCACAGGGGUGUGUGUAACCCAGCUCACCUGCUGCUCCUCGUGUGAAUGUGAGACGGGCUGUGCUGGGGCCGGGUCCAAUCGGGCAUUUCCAUUAUGAUUUUAUUUUGGUGAUUCCUGACAUCUGAAACAACCCCAGCAACAGAAUGGAAUGAACGGCAGCUUAAUUAAACUUGAUGAAAAGGAAGUAUUGGCUGAUGGCAGACAUAGAACCACUGGGUUAUGUGGACAAGGCUUUCAGUCCCAUUAAUUCUCCGUUAAAUUUGUGGGUACUUUGUUGUUGUCAGUUCCAAAAAGGAAAAGAGCCCAUGAACAUUUGUGGGUGCCAGUAGCAGUUUGUCAGACAGAGGAGGUGUCUGAGCACUGAGCAGAGCCGUGUGCUUGGGGUGCGUGGGCUCACAGCCCCAGUGCCAGCAGGGCUGCCCCUCGGUGUGCAGCCAACACGGGGCACGGGUGCUUGGCUUGGUGCUCCUGCCUUGAAAGAUAUGAUAUGUGGAGUUAAACAAGCUCAGGUUCUGGCAGGAUCAGAGCCCUAAGCGGCAUCGAUCCCAUAAAGAACCUCAGCUCUGUGGUUAAUCUGUUCUGUGUGGUAAAGGUAAUUGUGCAGUUUGGGACUUGCUGGGACGUCCUUCCAGCAGGGCUGUGCAGGCUGCUGCAAGCUGAAGGCUACAGCAUCGGGCAGAGCCCAUUCACUCUUUAGUUUGUGGGGUGUGUUUGCUUUAGGCAGGACGGUACAUUCUGUGCUUCUUGGAAUGGUUGACCCAUACUGUUCAUCUCUGUUGAUCAAAUCGUAUUCUAUUUAUUCCCACCUUUAAAAAGUGAAAAAUAAACAGCUUAGCUCCAAGCAGUACAACUGAAUACGUAUAUGAAGAUCACUGUCCGCAUGGGAAACCCCAAGGUCUGUAAUGCUGUAAGUUCCCACUCGUGUGAUAACUCAGGGCUGCUAAUUACCGCUGCAUCGGUGACGUGAGCAGCAGCAGCAAUGCUCAAAGAGAGGCAUUGCUGAUCAGGAUAUUAUUCUAUUACGGAAUUAAACUCGUAACUUCUUGAACGAAUGCCAUUUCUCAAGGUUUAUAACUUGGCAGGAAGUGUAUCCAUCAUUGCUAGACAGCUUUUUUUAAACUUUUCAAUAUAUAUAUUUUUGUUAGAAACUGUGCUGUUUUUUAAGAUACAGGGGUGUUAAACACCACCGCCAGGAAAAGCUGCUUCUUUGCACAUUUUCAAAGUUAGCAUUCUAGACCAACUCUGGUAAAUGUUACGCUUACCAAAAUCUCUUCUUAUUCCACGUAAGUGUGUUACAAAGAAUGUGUAUACCAAAAUACGUAUUUACCUGGAUGAACAAUAUGCCUUAAAGACUCAGUGUGCGUUUACUUCCGAGACUGGACCAGAUUUGUGCCCAAUCUGGAGGUAAAUAAUCCAUACUUCAUAGCCUGCCAUGGGAGAUAUCAUUUCUUCAAAAAAUAAUAAUAAUAAAAGAAAAAAAAAA